GAUGAAGAACGCAGCGAAAUGCGAUAAGUAAUGUGAAUUGCAGAAUUCAGUGAAUCAUCGAAUCUUUGAACGCACAUUGCGCCCGCCAGUAUUCUGGCGGGCAUGCCUGUUCGAGCGUCAUUUCAACCAUCAAGCCCCAGGCUUGUGUUGGGGACCUGCGGCUGCCGCAGGCCCUGAAAACCAGUGGCGGGCUCGCUGUCACACCGGGCGUAGUAGAUUUUAUCUCGCUCAGGGCGUGCUGCGGGUUCCGGCCGUUAAAAAGCCUUUUUUACCCAAGGUUGACCUCGGAUCAGGUAGGAAGACCCGCUGAACUUACGCAUAUCAAUAAGCGGAGGA
rnacentral:misc_RNA from 1 species